AUGUCGACAAGAAGUGGCAAGCCGCUCCUCGUCGUGAUCCGACGGAGCAAGCUCUCCGCAGGAGGUGAGGGCCGCCGCAUCUGCACAGAGUUCAAGCAGGCCAUGUACCCCUUCAAGUGGAGAAGGUACAUGUGCGCAAGGUGCGGGGUGCUCCGUGAUGAGCACAGGGCCUCCAAGAGCAAGGUCUCCGCAGGAGAUGAGGGGGACCACAUCGCAGGUAAGAGCAAGCUCUCCACAGGAGAUGAGGGCUCGCACAUAGCUGGCAAGAGCAAGCUCUCCGCAGGAGAUGGGGGCGAGCACGACACCGACAAGAGCAAGCUGUUUGCAGGAGAUAAGGGCGAGCACAGCGCUGACAAGUGCAAGCUCUCUGCAGAAGAUGAGGGUGAGCGCAGCGCCAACAAGAGUAAGAUCUCUGCAAGAGAGAAGGGAGAGCGUGUCUGCACCGAGUUCAAGCAGGCCAAGUACCCCUUCAAGUGGAGAAAGUACAUGUGUGCCAGGUGCGGGGUGCACCGUAGCGAGCACGGUGUCAGCAAGGCCAAGGCCAAAGUGUACGACGACAUGGAGAAUAUCAGGGAGGAGCUCCUGCCGCCACGCAAGAGGCUCAUUCUCAGGUUCAAGCGGUCACAGGCCCUUGCCGCUGCUGCUGUUGCUGCAUCCAGGGAGAAGGAGAACAAGGAGGGGGAGCUAGAGGAAGGGGAGAUCACCUGGAGCCCCGGCUCGACGAUCACCAAGGGAAAGAGAGCCACAAGGAGAAAGCCCUAG
rnacentral:rRNA from 1 species